rnacentral:rRNA from 1 species
AUUGAACGCUGGCGGCAUGCCUUACACAUGCAAGUCGAACGGUAACAGGUUAAGCUGACGAGUGGCGAACGGGUGAGUAAUGUAUCGGAACGUGCCCAGUCGUGGGGGAUAACUGCUCGAAAGAGCAGCUAAUACCGCAUACGACCUGAGGGUGAAAGCGGGGGAUCGCAAGACCUCGCGCGAUUGGAGCGGCCGAUAUCAGAUUAGGUAGUUGGUGAGGUAAAGGCUCACCAAGCCGACGAUCUGUAGCUGGUCUGAGAGGACGACCAGCCACACUGGGAGUGGGACACGGCCCAGACUCAAACGGGAGGCAGCAGUGGGGAAUUUUGGACAAUGGCCGCAGGCCUGAUCCAGCCAUGCGGCGGGCGAGAAGAGGGCCUUCGGGUUGUAAACCGCUUUUGUCGGGAAAGAAAAGAUUCGGGCUAAUACCUGGGAAGCAUGACGGUACCUGAAGAGUAAGCACCGGCUAACUACGUG